rnacentral:rRNA from 1 species
AUUGAACGCUGGCGGCAGGCCUAACACAUGCAAGUCGAGCGGAUGAAGGGAGCUUGCUCCUGGAUUCAGCGGCGGGCGGGUGAGUAAUGCCUAGGAAUCUGCCUGGUAGUGGGGGAUAACGUCCGGAAACGGGCGCUAAUACCGCAUACGUCCUGAGGGAGAAAGUGGGGGAUCUUCGGACCUCACGCUAUCAGAUGAGCCUAGGUCGGAUUAGCUAGUUGGUGGGGUAAAGGCCUACCAAGGCGACGACCCGUAACUGGUCUGAGAGGAUGAUCAGUCACACUGGAACUGAGACACGGUCCAGACUCCUACGGGAGGCAGCAGUGGGGAAUAUUGGACAAUGGGCGAAAGCCUGAUCCAGCCAUGCCGCGUGUGUGAAGAAGGUCUUCGGAUUGUAAAGCACUUUAAGUUGGGAGGAAGGGCAGUAAGUUAAUACCUUGCUGUUUUGACGUUACCAACAGAAUAAGCACCGGCUAACUUCGUG